UACAGAGGCCUCAAGCGUUAGGCGGAAUCACUGGGCUUAAAGCGCGUGUAGGCGGAUCGUUAAGUGUCUUGUGAAAUCCCACGGCUCAACCGUGGAACUGCUGGGCAUACUGGCGAUCUUGGGCCACUCAGGGGCAACCGGAACAAGCGGUGGAGCGGUGAAAUGCGUAGAUAUCGCUUGGAACGCCAAAGGUGAAGACAGGUUGCUGGGGGUGUGCCGACGCUGAGACGCGAAAGCGAGGGGAGCAAACGGG
rnacentral:rRNA from 1 species